GGCGACCUUUUGCAGGAUACAGAGUAGCGGCUAAAAAAAUAUUCUUAAUGAAUAUUUCUAGUUAGGUCAAAAUAAAGUGAUCCUAUAUGUCUAAUGAUAAACCAAUCCAAGUGGCGUUUGUUUGGACUUCGCUCUGUUUUCAACAGCUGUGGCGAAGUACGGCAAACGCUGAGUGUCCCAAGUUAACACGGCCACGGUUUGAAACGUAACACCGGUAAAACAAACAGCCGGUAAAACUGUUCUGUUAUAUUAAGUAAGAUGCGUUUGAGCGGAAAGGGGCAACCUAUGGGGGCAACUCAACGUUUCCCGGAUUCACGUUGGCUACAUUUUCAGCCGUUAUAUUAUUGAUUACAGCUGAAGCUACCGUUGCUUUAAGUACAGGAGCUCGCGCACCUUUGCCCACAACUAGCUAGCUUUGCUCCGACAGGACUUGGAAUUUGCUAAAAAAGUUUGUUGUACUUGAAGGGUACAAGCCAAGGUCACGUUUUGGUUGGAAAACUAAAAGCAGAGAGAGUUUGAGGAGUUAAGUGAAUGGUUAAGAGGACUAGAAAUACUUUAUCGUCUUGACUGUCGGAACUGUCGGUUUUCAAGGAACGGCAGUUGGGCGCCAUAGCUACCUUCGUGGUAGCCUUGUCAAAGACAGAUAAAAGCCUAUAAAUGCCCCCAAAAUCGGCAAAAGGAGAUUGUGUUGGUGGAGCAUCAUCUUGAACUACUGGCUCUACUACCUUAGGACCAAGCCUGCUAGUCUGCUUUGGUACAACCAUGAUAUUUGGCUCAGGGGAAUCUGAAGCACUCUCCUCUUCUGUGUAAUGUGACACUGUCUCUGUAUCAGAAGGCUGUUGGUUUGCUAGAGUUUCUGCAGCAGCACGCUCCAUCUCCUCUG